GAUGAACGCUAGCGGCAGGCCUAAUACAUGCAAGCCGAACGGCAAGAUUGAUAGCAAUAUUGAUCCUAGAGUGGCGUAAGGGUGCGUAACACGUAUGCAAUCUACCCUCAACAGGAGGAUAGCUCCCCGAAAGGGGAAUUAAGACUCCAUAAGAUCAUUUGGUGGCAUCAUUGAAUGAUUAAACUUCCAGGGGUUGAGGAUGAGCAUGCGCCUGAUUAGUUAGUUGGCGGGGUAAGGCCCACCAAGACGAUGAUCAGUAGGGGAACU
rnacentral:rRNA from 1 species